GAUGAACGCUGGCGGCGUGCCUAAUACAUGCAAGUCGAGCGAACGGACGAGAAGCUUGCUUCUCUGAUGUUAGCGGCGGACGGGUGAGUAACACGUGGAUAACCUCCCUAUAAGACUGGGAUAACUUCGGGAAACCGGAGCUAAUACCGGAUAAUAUUUUGAACCGCAUGGUUCAAAAGUGAAAGACGGUCUUGCUGUCACUUAUAGAUGGAUCCGCGCUGCAUUAGCUAGUUGGUAAGGUAACGGCUUACCAAGGCAACGAUGCAUAGCCGACCUGAGAGGGGGGUUGGCCAACACAGAAACGGGGAAACGGUCCAAAGCCUACGGGGGGGCGCAGGAGGGGAGCUUACGGAACUGGGGGAAAGCCGGAGGGGCAACGGCGGGGGGGGUGAGGAGGGGUUCCGAGUGGUAAACUCUGUUAUUAGGGAAGAACAUAUGUGUAAGUAACUGUGCACAUCUUGACGGUACCUAAUCAGAAAGCCACGGCUAACUACGUG
rnacentral:rRNA from 1 species